rnacentral:lncRNA from 10 species
CAGGAAGAAGGCUCUCACCAGAACCUAACCAUUCUGGCACCUGAUUGUAGACUUCCCAGGCUCUAAAAUGGUUGAAGGUCACAUAACCUGAGCAUGCCCAGAUGAACCAAACAUGCAACCACAGGGGGACCAUAAGCCCUGGGACCAAGGAACAGUGACUGAAUUAAGAAGCUCGGGAGUUCUUGACCAGCCUGGGCAACAGAAUAAGACUUCAUCUCUACCAAAAAAUAUUUUGAAGAAGAAGAAGGAAGAGGAAGAGGAGGAGGAGGAGGAGAAGAAGAG